AAAAAGACAGAUAGUGUAUUUUCUGGGAUCUUUGUCCAAAGCGUUAACAAUCAGAAAGGACAGAGAGCAGGAUGUAAGAGUCAAACAGGGAAAGGAGGGAAACUAAAAGUGGAACAACAGCUGUUAGAUACUAAGCAGAUUUUAAAGCAUAGUGAAUACUUCGACCAGCCUGAGACUGCAGAGAUCAGUGACAGAAGGACAAUGAGCAGUCAGAACUGGAAUCAUGAAGAAUUUCUGAGGUCCAAACUAAGCCCGUACCAUAUGAACCUGUGGGCACAGGAAAUGAACUACUAACCCUACAGAUCAAAGGUUUUUCUGGCUCUGAUAUGAAACAAUUUAUUCCUUGACGGCAAAGAGUAUAUUCAAGAGUCAUUUGUAUUUAGAAGACUUAAUACAAAAAUGACACAACAAAGUUUUGUGUUCAUACCAGUUCUGAUAGAGGAAAACGAUUAAAUAAAUUCCUAGUACAAGCGAUUUUCAUUCAGUUGAGGCUCCGGAGAAGUAGGAGCUGCUUGCCAUGUAUGAACUAAUCUAUAACUAGAAGCCUGAGGAGAAUCAACUCAAUGCCUCCAGUGACUGCUCUUUCUGCGUCAGGUGGCAACACUGUCACUAAAUUAGAAGGAAGAAGCUCCAAGAAAUCCAGCUGAGUAUGUGUGGAGAAUAUCUGUGCACUUUUGGCACCACCACCACCAAUAAUUUUUCUUUUCUUUUCCCAUUGUCUAGAUUCUUUCAGCUCAUUACAGCCACAUAAGAUGUAGAGCCAGUCAUAUAUGAAACUCAUGGUCUCAUGGUGUUAAUCUGUCCCACAGACAGAUGUCCAAAAAAGAAAGAAGAGGGCACAAAAAUGAAUAAAUAAAUAAAUAGAUAGAUAAAUAGAUAGAUUCUGGAGGAUGGUAUGAACAAGUUGUAGAUUUUAACUUGUAGGUAUUUAUAUUUCUUAAUGACUCAAACUUCAAUUUCUUUCAACUUAAAAGUUUUAAAAUCUAAUAACAUAUAUAUACACAUACAUAUAUUUGUCUGACAAUGCUGGAGAAUUUUAAAUUUGAAAGUAUUAUUACGAUAGUCUGAAAAACAGCCAUACUUUAGAGGGUUUUUUUGGACUGUUUCAGUUAAGAAAAGUAGUCAAUGAUGGGGUCAUGCAUUUAUUUGACACAGCCAUUUUCAUUCACUAAAAAUAAAGAAAGUGCUGUUUCUCUGAGAACAGGAAUAAACAAAUUACAGGAGACAAGUUCUGUGCUCAAAUCCUCAAGGGCUGUUCAGACAGGAGCUGACCUAAGCCUUCCCUUUGGGUUCCUUUCAGGACAACAUGUAUUUUGCUUUCCACUAGCUGUGUUCAUACUGUCUAGUUGACAUGAAAAGCUUCAUGAGAUUUUCUUCAAAAGUACAUAUUAGUAUAAUCAUAAGUGAGGUAUAAAGACUAAAUAAGCAGAAACCUUAUUCUAUACUUCUAUUCUUUCUGAAUGUUGUUCCUUGAAUACUGAACAGAACUGCUAUUUUUAGGCUUGUAAACACUCAGCUGCAUGUUAUCUUAUAGCUUCCUGAUCACUUACUGACAGCUUUUGAUUUACUUUACGGCUUUUUUUUUUUUAUUUUAUUUUAUGGAGUUUUAUUUGUGCAAAAAUAACAAUAAUAAUAAAAAUAAAAAUAAAAAAUAAAAAAGAACAUAAGUAAAGACAUAAAACACAAAUGAGCAAGCAGCACUCUUCAGUUUGCACAUACUGUAACCUAAAAUGUAGUGACAACAAUAAGCAAUACAUUGUCAAAGUAGGGUUUUUUUUUAUUUUUAAACCCAUUCCAGGGUGCACAAAUGGGACAUCCUAUUUAGUAAUGGUGCAUUAGCUCUCUUCAUAACAAUAAACACAAAGUGGGGCUCAGGACACAAAAUCUUUUAAUCACAUUGGAUAGCUCUAGAAGAUAAGGAAUAAAUGAACAAAACAAAAAAUACAACAAACACAUCCAUUCUGAUAACUUUUUUUUUUUUUUUUUUUUUUUUGAGCUAUUCUGUAAACAAUGAUCUGUGCCAGAUGUGCGACAGCAACAGUAUCUCCCUCCAUUCACUUAUGCGGGGAAAUAAGCUGUCAUUUGUCUCCUUUGUGGCUGAAUACUGAAGAUGCCUUACUCUUUAUUCAGCAAAUUACAUUCUUUAACAUCCCAGUGCGAAGUCCUACUGAAAAAAAAAAAAAAAAAAAAAAAAGGGCAUAAAGAAGAAAGUUAUUAUCACAAAAUGAAAUUGGAAACAAUGCCUACUCUUCAUGAAAUGUUCUGUCAUAAUGAAUUCUCUUUGUCAGAAAAAUCAGGAAUUCGCACAAUGGGCAGAUAUCAGUACAUGAGAACUCUCUAUUGGUGUAUUAAUCAUUAUUUAGACUGCUUCUAAUAUGAUAUAUGAAUGCAAUCAAUCGCAUACAUUUUGUCUCAAUAUAUUCUUCAGCCUCGUGAGUUGAAGGUAAAGCCUUUUAUGCAAACCAUUAAUGUAAAUGGUUUUCAUUACCAUUUUAUUUCAUCAAUUUGGAACACUUAUCCCUUGUACCAGUGUAAGCCUUGGGCCACAAAAGUGAUUUCAUAUAUAUAUAUUUUUAAUUACUUCUUCCAUUCACAGCAUUAGGCGAUACUUCAGAAAAAAAUACAUAUAUUUUAAGAAACACAAGCUUUUCCCAUCCAUUGCACUGAAAAAAAUUACAAGGACACCUUACUAAAUGUAUGUGCUACCAAAGUACUCAAUGGAAGUACAUUCAUGUUAAAAAAAUUGACUUAUUAUGUGCACAGGAUAGCUCAACACUAACUGCAGCAUUUAUUGUAAUUUCAGAGGCACAUAAGUUUUAAGUGAAAUUUGAAAUGAAAACCUUGUGAAAUUACUCAUUUUUCUAAUUCUUUCAGCACCAACUUUAUGAUGUCUAGUACAAAUACCAUAUUAGACCAUAGCAGUAAGUGUGCAAGCUAGCAAGGAAAAAUGUAUCCUACAUUAGUCCUACUGGGACAUGACUAGUCAACUAUUUCUCUACUUUCUUUUUUAUCUUCUGAAUUGAUAUUAAUAUACAACAAUAUUUAUUAAUUUAGAAUAUAUAUAUACAAUUCAUAUGUAUAUUUAUAUUUUAUAGAAAUGAUUACAAUUCACCCUAUAUUUUAUUUGUCAGAACAAAGAGGCUAGCUAGCUAAGAAAAACAAAUCAGAAAUAAAAAUAAAAGGAAAACUACAGUGAAACACUGAGACAAGAACAAACCUGCUACCACAAAUUAAAAUUAUAAAAAGUGAGUAAUGAAGGUUUCCCAUCUGAAACCUAAUCAAUUUGCCUUCAGACAAUCAAGGGGUGCCUGUAGCUUUGGGAAUUCAUAUUCAGAAUAAAAAUACAGGCAUUUGUAAAGUGUACAAGUUAAAGCUGUCUUUGCCUGAAUGAAAUAAUGGAGAUAGUAUUUUAAACAAAGUUACCAUAAAAAUUCGUAUCAUGAGCAAAAUUACCAACUUCAACUAUUUUCAUAGCUUGUGAAGGGAUAUUUUUUUCUAUAGUAUUUAUUAUUCUGGCAUAAUAUCAAGAUACUGUGAAGGAUGGGAUUAAUCUGAGUUUAUCAGAAGAGGCCUCUUUAAUAGCCAAACAGGCACUGAUGUGUCCAGUAAUCUAUCUAGAACUAGGGCAGCAGGACAAUAACUACUUGUUCAACAGCCAUAUUUAUCUUCAAAGAUUGUAGCAAUUAACUUAAAUGUAAAUGUCCAAAUUCUUCACGCUUCAAGUUAACAGACAGGAAUUUCUCUUGGAAGGAUUCAGUUUUCAUAAGUGACCAGGGACAGUUUUGAACACAUAAGUGUGCAUAUUUGUAAAUCCUUCAUUUAUUCCUACCCAUUGUUCUGCAGUCAAUUCUGCUUUCUCACAUAAAUUGCAUAUAUCAAAAUGUCUCAUAAAUGAUAUUCAGAUAGUAUCAUCUGUGAGAUUCUGGAAGAAUCAUUAAAAUUGGAGUCUCCAGGGUCUCAUUUAGACCUUAAUAUAAUGAAAAGUAAUCUUCAUUUCUAGAUCCUCAUGCUCUGAUAAUUCCAGAAAUAUGCUGUGUCCAAGUUGUUUGUUUCUUGAACAGUAGUAUUCCAGAAUGUUUCAUAAUAUCAUCUUGAAUAAUUAUGCAAAUAUUUUACCAUCUGUAUCAGUAAUACUUCAACUAACAUUAUCUUGAAACUCUUUCAUCAUUACUGUUUAGGGUUGUUGGCAUAUAGUCAUUCAAAAAUGAACUAAAAUGAACUUUUCUCUUACUCUGAAAUUUAAAAUCAUUUCUUUCCAGUUUUCCAUUCUGCAUUUCCAAAGUAAAUUAACUAAUAAAUGCCAGACUUGGUUACAUCUUGUUCUUGUUGGAAUAAAAAUAAAUAAAUAAAAUAAACUCAAUGUACUCAAAUAAUGCAGAACUAAUUGUGUUAUAUAUGACAUUAUUUUAUAUAAUUAUAUUCUCUUCUUAGAUUACACCGUUCUCCAAACACUAGCUUAGCACUGCUUUUAUUUCUUUGAGAGAUAUACUUUUCAUUUUUGUCUGUUGUAAAGUAACUUUACUAAAAUAAGUUUGAUACUGUUGCACCCAGUAUUUAUAAAUAAGUAGUCACCAAAACCUGUAGCUGUAGAUACACACAUUUCUUCUAAUGAAUCCUUAUUCUUGUAGACUAUUCAAUAAUCUUUGAACAACGGCAUGUUUGUGACUAAGCUAUACUAAUAAAACAUCAAAUAUCUUAUCAAGAUAACUGAGCUUGUUGAGGAAAACCACAAGCCAGUAGCAGAAGACCUAAAAAAUAGAAGCAAUAGAUUAUAAAAGAAGCCCUGAAAAUAAAAACAUGGCAUUUGCACCAGUCACUAAAGAGAUGACAUCUCAUUAAUUAGAUAAAACCAGUUCUAAAGGUAAUCAGUGAAGAAAGAGCAAGUGGACGCAGGUAACAAAUAUGCAAGAAUAUUCAAGCUCAUUCCAGGUAGGGGAGAAAUCAUUGAUACAGUAACCACCAUUUUAUUUACUCUAGUGGAAAAGAUUGGUGAUUUUCCAGGAUAUUUUCCUUUUUUCUUGAAAACUAGAAAAAUCAGGUGUAGGAUGCAGAGGAGGAAAAGAAGAAUGUAAAUACCAUGGGAGAGAGGAGAUCAGUACAAAAAAAAAAAAAAAAAAAAAAAAAAAAAAGUGUUUCAGUUUUAACUAUUAUCGUCAUUGUCAAUUAACGAUAACAAGUGGAUGAUUUCAAAUAGUUUUAUCAGUAUUAUUCUGAUCAGACUAGUAAUAUUUAUUUGAAUAGACUCUCAGGGCUUUAACUGGACCACCACCAAUAAGUUCUUGGCUUUGUAUAUAUUCUUUUUAGCGUAGAUCACGUAAAAAUUACAGCGUUUUGUCUGGUACAUUACUUUGAGAAUUGGCUGUUAAAAACAGGAUGUGACAUGGUCUAAAUUUUUAUUUUCUCUUGCAGUAUGCACAUAGCAUUUAGCUAGAUCUUUAACAUGAAAUGAAAACAAAAACAAAAACAAGUUACUCUUCACCUAAAUAAAACAUACAUAAAAGCAUUUAAUCAAUAUUAAAAAGGAUGUGGAUCUUCCUUUCCCUUCAUAUUUAGUUUUACAUAGGAUACAUGUCAAAAGAAUACUGGAAUUUAUUCAAACACAAAAUGGUUUCUCCUUCAUUUUUUUCUUUUCAGAACCCUGGAGUGCAUGUCAUCAGGCCAUGUAGACUUGUACACAUUCCACCAUUCAUGAGGUGGUCUUGAACUUACUCUUUGCUUGCAGUAUGAAGGAUUUUGCUCCCCCACUCAUAACCUAGAGGUUCGAGGACAAAAGAGAUGUAAGUCACCUGACUGCCACUGAAGACUGGGGCAAAGAACUGUUUUUAGUACCCUAGCCACCUCUGUGUCCAUUUCUCACUUCUCAUUUAUCAGAGAGGUAUAUUCUCUUUGUCCUUUCUCUUUUGAGGAACAUACCUGUAGAAUCCCUUGUUAAUUUUCAUAUCCCUUGCCAAGUUCAUUUCUAUCUGUGCCUUUGCUUUCUUCUUGUCAUCUCUGCAUGUCCAGACAGCAUCUCUUUAUUCUUUCCAGGCCAUGUAACCCUGCUUCCACUGCCUGUACAUGUUCUUCUUUUUCCUCAAUUUGAUCAGCACAUCCUUGCUUAGCCAUGCUGUUUUCUUGCCUCUUCUUCUUGUUAUCUUAUGUUGGGGGAUGGAGAGUUGUUUUGCUUUCAGAAAGGUAUCCUUAAAGAGUUUCCAGUUCUGUUCUGUUCCCAUGUCCAUAAGAACCGAUUCCCAGAGGAUCUGAUCCAAUAAUUCCUUAAACAACAAGAAAUUAAUUAUCUCAAAAUCCUGAGUGUGACACCGUUUACACAGACAUUCAUUCAAUGGGUCUGUUCUUCUUAUACCUAGAUCCCACUCACCAACCAGGAAGAUCAAAGAGAAUACAACCUGUAUUCCUGAUCCCUUCAACAUCUUCCCAAGGAAUAUAAAGACUCUUCUAAUAUUCUUCAAUAUCUUUGUUGAAGUCUUCUAUGACUCAACUUGAAAGAAGAGGAGUGGAGGGUAGUCCUUGGGUUUUAUAACUGAAAACAAAUAGAUAAAUAAUUAAGAAAGAAAGAAAUUAAAGAGCCAGUAGAUGGAUGAUUAAUCUGAUAGACGAUUAAUGAAAAAAACUAUCAUCUACCCUUUUUUUUACCCAAUACUCCAGUACUUGCAUGCAUUAUUUUAAUAUUAUUUUUUACACACAAAUCUGGGGUAAUGAAGAGAUAUAUGUUGAAAUCCAUUUGACACUUUUAAUGCACCUGAAGAGCAGUUUGUUUACAGUGGGGAGAAAUAAGCUGAUAUAUCAGAACUAGUGUUUACUAGUUUGGUCAAGGUGAAACUAUUCAGAAGUAUAUGAGAAAAUAUUGCAGUGGUAAUGAAAGGAGAGACUGAAAGAUGGAUAAUGUAACAUAAACUUUAAUUCAAAAAUAUAACUCUGAAUUACUUUCAAGGUUUUGAAGCUGCAAAUCUAGGUUCUUAUUCUCAGUAUAUUUAGGAAGAUUUUAAUACAUUCAUCAUCUCAGAAGUGUACAACAGCUACAGACUGUUGGAUUCUCAUGUCCAGAAUUUUCUCAGUGUUAAUAGGUUGGUGCCCUUGCCUAGUCAGCUGUGCUGCACUUAUAUGUGUAUGUGCACAUCUAUGUUUAACUUUUCUGUACGUGGUUUGGUUAAAAAAUAACUGCAGCAGAAUGACUGAAAAAAGCAUUUAAAUUUACAAGUCCAAACAAAAGAAUAAAAGAUGGAUAUUAACUGCUACAGGAAUGAUAUAUGCAUUCUUACAAAACUGUACUUUAUUACUGAUAUGGCUUUGCAUAGGGCAUUAAAUAGAACUUUAUAGAAAUGAGAAAUGCAAGUACUUAAAAAGUAAAUUAAAAAACCUAAAGAGAUUUCUGAUUCAUCACACUAUGUCCUGUUGUGUUUUUUCACUGUUGAUAAGCAAGCUGAUAACACAUUUUCUUUUCUGUUUUUGUGUUUUUUUUUUAUUUUACCCAUGUCAAAUAAAAAUAAAAUGGUUCUUCAGAUUUUCGAAAAAAAAAUACUGUAAUUACAGCAGAGGAAAACAUCAUGUUCUUUCAGCUUUCAAUAUUUUUUGAAAUGAUUAUCAUUCCAAAAUGUUGUUUUUUUAUGUGUUUAAUAUUUAUUUUCUGUAACAAAGGGCAUACUUUAUCAGGGACUAAUGGAAAUGACACUAAAGAUUAUAAAAAGAAAAUCAGAUUAUUUUCUCAGUGUCUGCAUGUUGUAUUGGAAGUAUUAAUCAUUGAGCAAUACAGAAAAUUUAGCAAAAUUUCUGGCAUGAAAGGCUACAAAUGGCAAUUACCACUGAUAAUCUCUAUAAAGCUUUAUUACCAGUAUAUAUAUGUGAGCAUACAAAAAGAUCACAAGAAGGAAGCUCAAUGCACAGCAGAGAGAGAAGACCAGAUGUCAGUUUUAAUCACAUUAAAACUUAUGCAGCCUUCAGAAAUGGUAGUAAUCUCAAUUUCCCUUCUUGCAAAAAGUUCCACUGGAUAGCAUUUUUAUGAGAGUUACUUUCAAUUAUAGCUUUAGAUAGAAAUUCUGGGUGUUAUAAUUUGCCUUUUUGACACAUCUGCUCAAUUAUGAGUUCUUUGUUUGUACUUGAUCUCUGCUCUCUAGGUAAUAGUUUGUUCUGGUAAAUCCUACUGAUAAUACAUGAACAACAAAUUAAGUCCUGGAUGUAGUAAGUACUACCUUUUUUUUUUUUUUUCUUCCUUUUUUUUCUUUCUUAAUCAAUAGAUUCUUACAUAAAUAUUAUGGUUUUAUGAAUUUGGUUAUUGGUACUCCACAUCAUAACAUCAUGUAGUGCACUAGGAGUUAAUUCCUUGUUUAAAAAGAAAAUAAACAACAAGAAUUCUAAAAGAUUUUAAAGUUAUUUUUGUUUUAAUUAUUAUUUUUAUUUUAAUAAAACUGUAGUAAAAUCUUUCCCAACCCAGUGUUUCACAGUAUAGUUACCUCUUACUACAUGGAGCGUCACAAUUCUUUGGCCUUUUGGUAGUCACUUGAUCACAGACUUAAGUUAAAUGCUUAUGUAUCAUUCCUGAAUUUGCCUUCAUGUUAUUGUAAAAUACAUACAUAUUUGUCUUACAGUAUGUACAAUUAUAGUGGGUUUUGCUCUAUUUUAGUAUGCUUCUGUUGGGCUCAAGGCAAGCCAAUAUUGUGCCCCGAUUAUUGCAUUCCUAAUUUAAAAUGCUAUGGGCCUCUACUUUCACUAAAGUACACUCUUAAAAAGUAGUAAUGUUUCUUACAGAAUGAUACCUGUUAUAAAUAUAGUAACUAAGCAUUAACUUGGUCUUGAAAAUGUGAGACAUACCAAAAAUAAAUUGCAAUAAAUUUGAAUCAUUUUUAAGAGCUGCCAAAAAGCAUAAAUGUCACAACAUCAUUUUCCCAUUAUAGUAAUUGAAUUUCUUACUUCAAGUGUCUUUGUAAUUGCACAGUUUUAAAUCACUGUGUUAAAAGCAAAAUCUUGGUUAGCAGGAAAUGGUUUUCUCAUGGAUCAUUGGAGGGAUCGAGACCCACCAGCUUGGAAAAGGGAGAUAAAAUGGGACAAUCAAACGUUAGCAGAAGCUGGUCGCAUUGAGCCUUUAGUUUGAUCACCACUAUCUGUUCUACAUUCUUAUUAAGUGUUUCUAACUGCCUUCUAUGAGAAUGCCCUCCCUGUUUCGUCCUCUGUGUGUGAAAUUCAUGUUGAACCAGCCAUUAAGAGAAGAGGUCUGAGUGCCAGCUAUUGGGUAGUGUCAUGCUCUAUGGUUGUGUUUGUGUGAAACUUCUGGAGAACUUAAAGCCAAUAACCUUCAUGUAUUUGGUCUAACUAUAACACAAGGGAAGGUGAAAUAUAAUGUAGCGAACAAAAACUUAAGUACGAUUCAGUACAAUAUAUAUAUAUAUAUUUUUUUUUUCCAUUUCCUUGUGGUAACUUCUACAGGGAAAAAAUACUUUCUUGAUAAAUUCUGAACAUUUCCUACUCUAUGAAAUAAAUAUCUUUGAAAGUUUGAAAUUUCUAGUGACUGUCUAAAAAAGGCGUAUUUUGAUUCUUUCUGUAAAUAAACAAUGAGUGAAGUGCAUACUACCAUACUGAGAUUAAUGACAAUUCCUAUCAACUUCCUUUGCAUUAGAAUAUUCCUUCAAACAUUUGUACAAAAGUCUGGUCUAGGCAUUAAGAAAACAUAUGUGAAAAGAAUGUGUUUCUUCAAGUUCAACUAAUUAUGUCAAAUCUACAUUUAUACUAUAGAUUUGGAGAGUAGUGUAUAUAUAUUAUAAAUUCUACAUAUGUGUUGCAUUAAUGCACAAUCCUAAAAAAAAAUGUUGAAUUAUCUAUUUUUGUACAAAUAUAGUAUGGUCAGAAAAUUCUGUUUGCAAUAAUCACAUUGGCAUUGAGAACUGAAUAAAAUACAUAUUUAUAGGUAGAUUAAAAGAAAACUAUCUUCUCCAACCAAAAGUAAAUUUUACCACUAAUGAUAUAACAAAAACACACUUUUUUUUUUUUUUUUUUUUUUAAGAGAAAAAUAUUUUAAAAAUGCUGGUAGUUACAGCUAUGAAACUGCUAUAUACUACAUGAAAUCAUAGUUAGAGCCAGAUGACUAUAAAGCCUACACACCAUUUAACUACAAGUGUUUAGGAAAAAAGGUGGUUUCAGUUAGUUCAUUAGAUACAACAGUGCAGUUCUUUUCCAAUAGGCAGACCAAAAGAUUAUUAUUCACUACUAAAAUAAUGUUUAUCAAAAAAUGUUAAUGUUUCACAUAGUUUUUUUUUUUUUUUAAUAAUAUCAGUCUCUUUUUAAAUAUUGAGGACAAAUUGUUUUCUUGAUAGAAAGCUAAAUGCUUUAGAUCUCUUUCUAUGAGGGCUUAUCUGAAAAUAAUGUUUCCUAUGUUAUUAGGUUGGCUCACAGAGUCAGAGGCAAAUGCUUAUGGUAUAAAGAAUGUUGAACCUUCCUGCCAAUAUUCCAUUAAAUUUGCUUGCCCUGCAACAGAUAGCAGCAGAGGCGCAGUCUAACAAAAUGGCAUCUAACAUGGAAGUGCAUAUAAAGCAAUAGGUAUGCAAUUGAAUUCCUUCGUGUAGAAAAAAAAUGUCAACCAUUCACAUUCAUUGGCACUUACUGAACAUUUAUGGAGGCCAAACAGUGGAUGUAAGCAUAAUUGAGGUGGUGGGUGUUUCCACACUGAUGACAGUGAUAUGAAGACAAGGCACAUUCUGGACCGCCAUGCAGAUUUUUGUACGUGCUGCAUGCUGGCUCUUUUUCAUCGCUGGUGAAAAUUCAUAGCUAAUGGUGGUGGCUAUGUUGAAAAAUAGUGUUUUAUAGCCAAGAGGUUUGUCUAUCAAAUAGUGUUCUUGCACUCUUUGUAUCUGUUACAGUUUCCAUGGUAAUAAAUAGGAGGCAUUACUUACAGAACAACCUAGGUAAGAUGGAAAAAAAAAAGAUAUGUUGGCAUUCACAUUAACUGUAUCCUGUCAUAUGUGGUCAUUAAAAUUAAUUUUUAUGUUUUCAAAAGUUAAUAUGAAUAGAAUGUAUUGCUGUUGAUUUCUUAACUACUAAUGGUCUUAUUCCAAAGGGAUAUUUCAAUUACUUUCUUCCUUUGUAUUUUUUCCUAAAUAUAAUAGGAGUUCACAUUUGUUUCUCUGAGUGUAUAAUCAAAUCAAACGUUUAGAAAUAUGGCUGACUCAGGACUUUAAUAUAUUACAGCUCAAAUAAAUAACACAUGUACAGUUUUGUGUAAUUUUAAAAGCUGUGUGAAGAUGAGUGUGUUUUCAUUUGUCUGCUCCAGCAACAAAAUUCCUACAGAAUACAAUUUCAUCUCUGGCAGUAAAACAUGUAUUUUCAAAUGAAAGGACUCUUAGAUGUAUGUAAAGAACAAAUAGUCAAUUUGUUUCAAUCAACACCUCUUUGAAUAAAUAAAAUACAAAAAUUACUCAUAAUGUUGGUAAAGGAUUUGUAUAUUAAUUUUGUGUAUAUGUAUAUGUUCUUUGUGUUGGUAUGUAUGUUCAUGAAAACAUCUAUAUAUUUCCAGUACUUUUGAUUAAAUGACAUAGAUGAAAGCUAAAAAAGUCAAAGAAAUCCUGCUAGAAUGUUCUAAAAUAACUAGCUAACUAACUAACUAAAUAAAUAAAUAAGAGGAAAAAAAGUGAGAAAAGAAGAAGAAAUUAGAAUGAAAAAGAAAAACAAGCAAACAAACAGAAAUCUCACAACUGAAUGAUCUAUUUAUACUUGGCAUUCAAGUAAAUUACUAGUAGACUUUGCCUGAGGGUUUUCAGUUUUCCACAUUAACCUAUACAUUCAGUUGUUUGUGACUGAUACUUACUUAUUCUUCUAGAAGUCAGUGCUGCUCACGUAUUACAGUCUGAUAUUUUCUUCACAAUAUAUCUUUAGCCUUUUAUAUAUUAAAGCAUAUAUUUCAUGAAAAAAAAUAUUUAACUUUAUAAAAAAGAACGAAUGUAACAAAAUGACAGCUGUCUACCUACA
rnacentral:lncRNA from 1 species